rnacentral:tRNA from 1 species
GCCGCGGUAGCUCAGCUCGGUAGAGCAGCGGACCUCGCAGAAGGGGGCUGAAGCUGUUAACCCGUUGGUCGUCGGUUCGAAUCCGACCCGCGGCGCCA